CACAGGUCCACAUAUAUAAGGUGUGGUUCCACAGUAAAACCAGUAAUCUGCACAUUUACUCCUCACGAUGAAGCUGAUUCUGUCUCUCACUCUCAUCUGGAUGCUCUCCAGCACAGUAACAAUUACACUCGCUGCCACAGAGACAAAUACAACCACUGCGACAGCAACAACUACAACAGCCACGACUCCAAAACCUUCCAGUGGAGCCUCCUGUAUCCAACUGGGUAUGAUCCGUCUGCUGCUCGGACUCCUUAUGUUUACCCUCUGUUAAAAUACAGAAACAGCUGAGACUACCCACCUAUGAAGCUGACCAGAAGCACCCGUUGAAGCCUGGACUUAAGUUUACUGCUCACUGCAAUCUUUAGUUGGCUUUUACAGGGGAAGGGAAAAUCCAAAUGAACAUAAAAACAAUAACAUGUUGCAGUAGUUUAAUGUAAAGUGAUGACAUCUACUGUACUGUCUAAUAAAGCUUUCUGAUGAGACAACAUGAGUUUGUGGCCAAGAACGAUGAACCAAUCAGUGGAGCACUACCCACCUAUGAAGCCGCCAGAACCACCCGUUAAAUUUACUGCUCACUGCAAUCUUUAGUUGGCUUUUACAGGGGAAGGGAAAAUCCAAAUGUAGAAAAAAGGGGGGAUGUAGUCUGUGUGAAGCUGAGGUGGGACGAGUAGGCAGCAAUGUAAUAGACACACAUACAUGUAAACAUGGGAACAUUACUUUUGCCAACUAUAAUCUGGAAUACAAUGUGAAUAACAUGUCACAAUGCACAUCACACAAGGAAUAAUCCAAAAUGAGACAUCUGGUAAUUAAACAAUGAGGAUGCUUUGUCAGAGCUGUGCAGUUACCUGAAAAUUAAGCACACUUUUGCAAUAGAUCAUACAUAUAUAAAUGUUACUUGAUGAUGUAACUAUCUAAUUUAACAAUUUAUCUUAUCACAAAUUGCUCAUUUACAUUUAUUUAAAUAAUUACAAUCAUUAUUUUUCUUUGCAAUCUUUUCUUUGUUUUAUCACAUAAAAACAAUAGCAUGUUGCAGUAGUUUAAAGUAAAGUGGUGACAUCUACUGUACUGUCCAAUAAAGCUUUCUGAUGAGACAACAUGA